rnacentral:lncRNA from 1 species
CGAGGACGGGGAGGACGCGCCGCGGCCGGGCAGGGAGGAGACCGGCACCCAGACAGGUGGCGACGGCAAAGGAGCGGAAUUCUCCACGAGUUUUGAGCAGCCUCGGUUUUCCCACCCCCUCCAAAUCAUGGAAGAAACAGGGUGCAGGCAGAGCCCCUGGAGCCAUGGCCAGCCCUUCCGGCAGCUCCGAAGCCACUGGCAAGCCCCGAGGCAGGGAUGGCCGGCCCAGGAGGGAGGAGGACGACGUCCCUCCUGAAGAGAAGAGGCUGCGGCUGUUGCUGGAGGGGGGAAGAGCACAGCCCGAGGACUGCGAGGACGGGGAGGACGCGCUGCGGCCGGGCAAGGAGGACACCGGCACCCAGACAGGUGGCGACGGCAGAGGAUUUCUAUGGAAAUACUCUUUCUGAAGAACCCAUGAAGCAGUGUCAGGCUGGUACGAGGAUCAGCAGUGAUUUCUUUGAGGACAAGAGCCAGUUUCUUCACUCACAGGCCAUGUCUGAGUGGAUCAAGAAGAACAGAGUGCCCUUUUAUGAGAUUUUGUCUGCGUAGACCACUAGCUUGGUAAAAAUGCCAAAACCAUCCUCGUUCUUUAAUAUCAGAUUAUUUUGGACUUUUCUCUAUAAGAAGCAGCAUGGGCAUUCAGAUGCUUUUAAGGAUAAAAUGUUCUUUCUCAUCACCAGGCCUGGUGCUCUGGAUGGCUGAGGUUUUAAUGUGACUUGGUGUCCCUUGGAGUGGCUCCCAGGCUGUGCUCUUGUGGUUGGGUGGCAAGGGGUUUCUUUAUUCGGUGGUGGCUAGAGGAUGUUUUAGCAGAUAAAUCGGGACCCCAGGAGCCCCUGUGUUGCAAGUCCUGCUGCAGGGCAUGUGUUUAUAGUGGGGAUGUGGGGAGGUGGAGGGUGGGGUGCAUUGAUUUCCUGCCAAUAUCAGAAGUUUCACAGGCUUCUUGUGUAUCCACAAACACCGACCCCAUUGAGAAGGCCUAGAAAACCUGGCCCUCCCCAAGCCUUUAUUGACAACUUGUGAAUGAUCCCAGGGUGUGUCUGACCCACAGCUCCUCCUGGAGGGAGAGCAAAGUCUCUCCUAGGUAUUUGGUUAUCAACCUCAACCACUUGCUGAGCCUUCCCCAAGACCACCAGGCACCUUGGCAGAGAUUUCUGGGUUGUCAGGCAGAACCGAGCAUUCAAGGGUGAUAACUCACUGGAGUCCCUGAAAUCCCUGAUGGAUGCACCAGGUAAAAGCAUCCAGGGUUGAAACCAGAUCAGGAAGGUUAUUGUCAGCCUGGGGCUCCUGUAGAGGUGCAUCCACGUUGCAGGUAUUUUCCUUCUUGCUGAGGAGAAACCUGGAUUUCUCAGCUUUGGCACCGUCACAACAUUUGGGGUGAGACCAUUCGUGGUGGUGGUGGGGGGGCAUCCUGUGUAUUGUAGGACGGUUAGCAGCAUCUGUGGUCUCCAUCCUCUAGGUGCCAUUCUACCCUCCCAGUUAUGGCUACCCCAGAUGUCUCCAGAUGGUUUCAAUGCUGUGGGGCAAGGGAGUGCUGGACUACACAGGCUGAAGCUCUCUCUGCCGAGAUAUAGAUAUUUCCCUGGCAAUGAUCUUUCAAGUUGACAUGAAGACAUGGCCAUCCGCUGGAACAUCGUGGGUCUGCCGUAGUGCUCUUGUAAUUUGUGAGGCAGGCUCCUGAUGAAUGCAGUGCAACUCAAGGGACAGGAAGGAGAUGAGUUGGAGGCUGGGACAGGGGUCCCUGCCAGGGAUGCUGGUGACUCACGUGACGGUGUUGAUGUGUGGAGUCCGGUGCCUGGUUUGGGGAAUGUUCGUGGGAUAUGUUCCAAAGGACUGACAGACCUAUCAGGUGCAGUGGUUCACACCUGUAAUCCCAGCACUUUGGGAGGCCGAGGCUGGCGGAUCACCUAAGGUCAGGAGUUCGAGACCAGCCUGGUCAACAUGGCAAAACUGUCUCUACUAAAAAUACAGAAAUUAGCCAGGUGUGAUGGCACACACCUGCAAUCCCAGCUACUUGGGAGGCUGAGGCAGGAGAAUCGUUUGCACCUGGGAGACAGAGGUUGCAGUCAGCCGAGAUUGAACCACUGUACUUCAGCCAGCCUGGGUGACAGAGCGAGACUCUGUUUCAAAAAUAAAUAAAUAAAUAAAAUAGAAUUCUGAAUUUU